CUGGGCCCAGCUGCUGAGGAGAAGGAGGUAGAGAGGUUCGCCGUCUGGGCAGCUGCCCUCUGGCCCGCUGCCGGCCUCCCCUGCCCCCACCCCAGCUCCCCAAAGGCCAGGAACAUCUGGCUGCUGGCCUAGCUCCAGGAAGGUGAAUGGAUACACUGGAGGUUACCUAGCUGAGACCCUGUGGAUGGACAUCUAGGUUGUUCCCAGCGUUUUCCUAUUGUGAAACACACUGCCCUACACGCAUGAUCCAGGCUUCUCCAAG
rnacentral:lncRNA from 1 species